GAUGAACGCUGGCGGUGUGCCUAAUACAUGCAAGUCGAGCGAACAGACGAGGAGCUUACUCCUCUGACGUUAGCGGCGGACGGGUGAGUAACACGUGGAUAACCUACCUAUAAGACUGGGAUAACUUCGGGAAACCGGAGCUAAUACCGGAUAACAUGUUGAACCGCAUGGUUCAACAGUGAAAGACGGUCUUGCUGUCACUUAUAGAUGGAUCCGCGUCGCAUUAGCUAGUUGGUAAGGUAACGGCUUACCAGGGCAACGAUGCGUAGCCGACCUGAGAGGGUGAUCGGCCACACUGGAACUGAGACACGGUCCAGACUCCUACGGGAGGCAGCAGUAGGGAAUCUUCCGCAAUGGGCGAAAGCCUGACGGAGCAACGCCGCGUGAGUGAAGAAGGUCUUCGGAUCGUAAAACUCUGUUAUUAGGGAAGAACAAAUGUGUAAGUAACUAUGCACGUCUUGACGGUACCUAAUCAGAAAGCCACGGCUAACUACGUG
rnacentral:rRNA from 1 species